rnacentral:misc_RNA from 1 species
UCCUGCCAACCCAGUACCACCCCCAAUCUGCGAUCCGUGUCUCUUUUGCCUGGACUUCCUCGACAGAGGGCCAACACCAGCCACGGCAGAAGAGCGAGGAGGAGGAGCGAGUGACGACAUGGUGAAGUACGCUCACGCACGCAAAACUCAGCUUCUACGCCCAUCGCGACGCCUCCUCGCUCCCUCUGCACCCCCCCCCCACACACACACACACAGCUCACUUCUGCGUGCACGCGUUAUCCUCGCAGUGGUGUGUUUGAGGAGGCGGAGGACAACGCGGAGAAGAGAGAGAGCGACGGAGGAAAUACAGAAGCAGCGGUGGGGCAGUCGUGUCUCGCGGUGUAGCGGACGCGCGGAUUGUAUGUGCGUUGUGUUGGGAGUGCACCACGUCCUUGUGCUACGAGCAGUCGCCACCACCAGCGCACCAAAUCUUCCUUUGCCGUACUCUUAGCUCUCUCUCUCUCCUGCUCCUCCCAACGCACGACACUCUUCGCAUCGUACGACGCACGCAGACACAAACACACGUGAGGCGUAUUCGUGUAUCUGUGUGUGUUCUCACUUGGAUGGAGAAGGCGGUUUGCAGAACCAAGCCCCCCCCCCAAAAAAAAAAAAAUCUGUACCCACCCCGUGUUUGCGCGUCUCCAUGCUGCGACGAAGCCAUCCGUGGCGCGUCAUGACACCUCGCCAGGCGCUGCGCGUGCUGUCCCUGUCCCCCACAGCGGACCUUACGCCGGCAUCCAUCAAGAAGGCGUACAUCCGGCAAACGUUGCAGUGCCACCCCGACCUGCACCCGAACAAUCCAAAUGCAAACGAAAACUUUCGCAACCUCUCAGACGCCUUUCGUGUGGCGCUCAAGGCGCUGGAGGCACAGCGGGGCGGCGGGUCCGCGGCGGGGCGGCGCAGCACCACCAGCGGUGCCGUCGAUCUUUACGACCCGCAGGAAGCGCUGGAGUCGCUUCGGCAGGCGAUGAUUGCCUACCACAGACAUCAGCAGUCGAGCGAGGCGCCAUCCACGCCCUCGUCGUCCUCCCCACCGUACGGGAAGCCGGAGAGCCACGCCGCUGGUGCUUUCUUCACGCCGACGCUGGAGGACGUGUCAUCCGUUUGUCAGCGGGAGGCGGUCGCGAUGCGCCGUGUGCACACUUUCUGCGCUGAACUUCCCGCGGUGUUGUGCGGCAGCCACUCCGCGGCCCUCUUCGAGGCUGUCGCUUUCUUUCACACACGCUAUGUGGAGUCGAUGUCGGCGUGCGUCAUGCGAUUUGCACAGAAUCUGCCCAUCAUCGUGCGCCGUGUUGUGAAGCAGCGCCGUAGGUACGUAGACAACGGGUACUUGGCGGUGGCGCAAGGCAUCGGCACCGGAUCUCGGCCGCGCGGGCAGCGCAUUGAAGACAUGGCGAUGAAGCCGCUGGUGUUGAUGGGUGCACUCAUCUUUGAUCUGCCUGAAGGGGCUUCAAAUGAGCGGCGGCAGUGCCUCGGCGAAGAUGCGGUGGCGAGCGGCGGCGGCAGCAGCAGCACCUGCGGCGCGUCUCGCCCUGCCGAUGUUCGUGUCUCAGACGAGCUGAAGUGUAUCAUCUAUCCUGCGGACAGCAUCGCUGACAUCACAGCAAAACUCGGCAGGUGGGAAGCGGCCAGCUUCGACCGACUAAAGCUGGAGCUGGCGAUCGUGGACGUGAAUCGACUGAUGUCGGCUAUGUUGGGGCUGCAGGACGAGGAAAGCAGCGGCCGCUCCGAGGCGCACCUCUCCGUGGAGCCGCACCUGAGCGAGAGCAGCGCCGCCGCGGCGAUGGUGUUGCGCACACUCCAGAAGCUUGCCGGCGAUCUGUGUUGUCACUUCGACGCUGCCGUUGACAGCGGCGCCGUUACCGAGGCGAUGGUGGAGGCGAUGCGCCUGCAGGACAGUUGCGACACAUCAGCCAGCGUGCAGGACGAUAUAGCGGCGCAGUCUCUAGAGACGCCAGCACUUGUCGCGCAGUGCCGGCAGCUAGCGGAACUGGCGUGUCCAACCAUUCGUGGCAACAUCGUCCUCACCUGGAAAGCAGUCGCGACGGACGAGCUGGUGAAGGAUGACGCCGAACAGGCAGACGUCACAACGGCGCCGAUGCCGUUAGUGGACGCAUCUCAAACAGACAGCGCUGGGAAGGAGAAAGGAGGCGGUAAAGUCACACCACCCUUUCUCGUGGGGCGCCACUUGACGUGCUCCACCGCUGAGACGCUCUUCUUCUCCGUGUCCGUGACGCUGACGAGAGAUCUACACGCCUUCCUACUACGUCUGCGCGGCGCACUGAAGAGGGUUGUGCAGUCCACCAAUCAGUCGAAGCGCACGCUCUUUGAGCUGCUGCCACUGCGCGAGAGCAUUGUGAAAGAGGAGUUCACUCGCAUAGCCUCCGACGACGACGCCGACACGUCACCCUUCCGCUACCGUGGCCCUGUUAACUGCUUUCCACGCAUCUGUAACAUGGACACACACCGCGAGCACCAGCUGUGGAAACACCUCUACGUGCACCGCGAGUACGUUGCCAAGCACGCGCCCGCAAUGAACCCACUCAACGUGUUCUACGAGUGCUUUCCUUACGACCCGGACGCACCGGCGCACCGGCCGAGCUCUCUCGAUGCGGACGGCAACGUGCUGGCGGGGUGGGUCAGCGGCGGCCCUGACGGCUGCGACAACGUCGUCAUCACAGCGACGCAACUCGACGACCCCGCGCACUUCACUGAGUGGCUAGAAGAGGUGGUGGAGCAGUCGUCGCUCAACCGCGAAACAGAAGAAAUCCUGGCCAAGGCUGGCGUCGGCUACGUCAGCCGCGACCCCGUCUUGCCGCUAGCUAAUUAUCUCUCGUUCGUUAAGGCGUUCGCGCAGUCCACCGCGGUGCGCGCCGUGCUGGAGCGCAAGGACGGUGCACCACACAAGGGUACCGCCACGCCGGAUGACAUUGGCCUCGCCAUCAUCGUCUCACCCUCGCGGUGCGACGUUCGAGACGGUGGUCGUCUUUUCAUUCCGUGGUACGUCGAUCCUGCAAUUCUGCUGGCUCUGCUCGACGACGCCAACACCUCGCAGCGACUCGAUGUGUAAGCGGGACCCAGCGCCCACGAUGCGCGACAGCAGCAGCAGCAGCAGGUAACGCGAACGAGCCCGAGCCUCCGAGAGAAUCUUCCACAGAAAAACAG